rnacentral:rRNA from 1 species
AGAGUUUGAUCCUGGCUCAGGACAAACGCUGGCGGCGUGUAUUAGGCAUGCAAGUCGCACGGAGUCUUCGGACUCAGUGGCGGACGGGUGAGUAACACGUGGGUAACCUGCCUCGGAGUGGGGAAUAACUCACCGAAAGGUGAGCUAAUACCGCAUACCACUCUCGAUGAGAAUUCGAGUAGUAAAAGCAGUAAUGCGCUCUGAGAGGGGCCCGCGGCCGAUUAGCUUGUUGGUGGGGUAAUGGCUUACCAAGGCGACGAUCGGUAGCUGGUCUGAGAGGAUGGUCAGCCACACGGGGACUGAGAUACGGCCCCGACUCCUACGGGAGGCAGCAGCUAAGAAUCUUGCGCAAUGGGCGAAAGCCUGACGCAGCAACGCCGCGUGGAGGACGAAGGCCCUCGGGUUGUAAACUCCUUUUGCGAGGGAAGAAGAUCUGACGGUACCUCGCGAUAAGCCACGGCUAACUACGUGCCAGCAGCCGCGGUAAUACGUAGGUGGCGAGCGUUGUCCGGAUUUACUGGGCGUAAAGAGCCCGCAGGCGGUCCGUUAAGUUUCAGGUGAAAUCUCCUGGCUCAACUGGGAGGAUGCCUGGAAAACUGGCGGACUUGAGGCAGGGAGAGGGAUGUGGAAUUCCCGGUGUAGUAGUGAAAUGCGUAGAUAUCGGGAGGAACACCAGUGGCGAAGGCGGCAUCCUGGCCCUGUCCUGACGCUCAGGGGCGAAAGCGUGGGGAGCAAACCGGAUUAGAUACCCGGGUAGUCCACGCCGUAAACGAUGGAUACUAGCUGUUGGAGGUAUCGACCCCUUCAGUAUCGAGGCUAACGCGUUAAGUAUCCCGCCUGUGGAGUACGGUCGCAAGACUAAAACAUAAAGGAAUUGACGGGGAGCCGCACAAGCGGUGGAUUAUGUUCUUUAAUUCGAUGAUAACCGAAGAACCUUACCAGGGUUUGACAUCCUUGGAAUUUCUAUGAAAGUAGAGAGUGCUUUAUUGAGCCAAGUGACAGGUGAUGCAUGGCCGUCGUCAGCUCGUGUCGUGAGAUGUUUGGUUAAGUCCAUCAACGAGCGCAACCCUUGUGAAUAGUUGUAUUUUUCUAUUCAGACUGCCCCGGUAACGGGGAGGAAGGAGGGGAUGAUGUCAGGUCAGUAUUUCCCUUACACCCUGGGCUAGAAACAUAAUACAAUGGCCAGUACAAUGCGCAGCGAAGCCGCGAGGUG